UGCGGCUCCAUCAAAUUCAGUCCUCGUCCAGCCCAUGCUGGGGACUGGCCAGGCCAGCUACCACGGCAAUAACUGUGGCUCGUGACCCCCACUGUCUCUCCUCCCUCCGCUCUGGGGCCAAAUGAACGCAACAGACAGCG
rnacentral:snoRNA from 1 species